rnacentral:lncRNA from 1 species
UUUUUUUUUUUUUUGGUGCUCAUUCAUUGUUAUCGUAAACCUUGUUAAUGAUGAACUUCAUGAGUGGAACUUGUGGCAUAGGCUAUUUUAUGCUAUCAAGGUUACUUUAGUUAUUUCUGGGUCUUCACUGACUACUUUACUGUAUUUAACAUAACAUGCAAGCAUUUCUUUUGCUCUUAAAUUUUAGUUUUUUUUUUUUAUAUGUUAGGAAACUGCAUUUGAUAGCAAUAAACUUAAUUCAGAUUUCUAGAAUGACUUUGCUACAAUCCUGACCUAGGGACUAAAAUAUCUGGUCUUUGCAGUGCCAAGGAAUUUCAGAUUGCUUGAAGAGCUUGAGAGAGGUGAAAAGGGAAUUGGGGAUGGAACUGUUAGUUAUGGAAUGGAUGAUGCUGAUGAUAUUUACAUGCAGUCAUGGACUGGGACUAUUAUUGGCCCGCCUAACGUGAGUCUCCCUCUAUCUCUUCCUGUUGUGCUCUUUCCUGUAGUCGUUGUACUCAUGUCUCUGAAUUGAUGUGGUUAAGUGGACUGACAAGUGUAAGGCUGUAAGCGGAACUUGGAGUUGAUAUGUACUUCUAACUAUGCUCUUCUUCACAAGUUAGUGUAGUUAUUGAGACAGUCCACUUUGACUGAUUAGUUAUAAGACUAGACCAGUUUUUUUUAAUGCCUGUGUUAGAAAUUGGAGGCAUGAGAAGAUUUUAUGGUUGAUAUAAAUUAUAUUCUAGCUAGAAUACAAUCACUGCUUUAUUAUUUUCUUUUUACCAUGGAGUAGGAUGCAGACUGACAUAUUUUCCAUAUUAAGGUGGCAAUUAGAGCUUGUGAAACAUAUGAGACGAGAAAAUUGCCUUUUUAACAGCUGAAAUACUUCUCUGUAGGUUGCUUAAUGAGUUUCUACCAUCGAAGUUUGAUGAUAAUUGAUCACAUAAUUUAUGUGCUUUAUACCAAACACUUUUUGAAAAAUUAAACUAUUGCCCGCAAACCUAUUGGAGCUUGCUUGGAACUGUUGCUUAAAACAUACAGUUCUUUGUGAUCAUAAGACUUCUGUUUAGGACUUCUGCUAGAAGGAAUUGUAUGAUUUAUUUUAUACGGUACUUCCUGUUGGUUGUCAAACAGUAAUUAACAAUAUUUCCUCUUAAAACUAUUCAUUUCUUGAGAUGAAAAAUGAGUUAAUAACUUGAUUAUUCUUUAUGCAUGUUAGACUGUUCAUGAGGGACGCAUCUACCAGUUGAAACUAUUCUGUGGCCUGGAUUAUCCAGAUAAUCCACCAAGUGUGAGGUUUCAAACCCGGAUAAACAUGACAUGCGUCAAUCAGGAAACUGGAGUGGUAGGUGAUGUCAUUCUUAGGACCUUUUUAUGCUAUGACAAGAUACUUAUGGCUGCUAAUUGCCAGGUCGAACCUAGCCUUUUCCCCAUGCUUGCUAAUUGGCAAAGGGAGUAUACAAUGGAGGAUAUAUUGACUCAGCUGAAGAAAGAAAUGAUGUCUCCACAGAAUAGGAGGCUGGCUCAGCCUCCUGAAGGUGAGUAGAUCUUGUGUUUUUCUUGCUGUAUCAUAAUCCUUUUGUAUUUGUGCUGGUGGUAUUUUAAGCUCAUCUCUUUUAUGAAAUGAGUUUACUUCCUAGGAUAGUGGAAUUUUAAUGGAGAAAAAAGUUAUUGUUGCAUGGAAUGAUAGAUUAUGGCUAUUUAUAAUGUAGGUUAACUAAUGAUAUUAUUUGUGAAAGUUAGGAUGUAGAUGUAGAUCUUCUGUGCAUAAAAUUUCUCUCUGAUGCAUGUUAUGUAAUUAAACUGUGAUAUUAAUGUUGUCCCAGGCAAUGAAGAAGCAAGGCUCGAUCAAAAGGGUUUAGUGGUGAAGUGUUGCAUCGUUUGAAGAUCGUCGGAGUUGUAUGAACAUAAUGUAUAUACAAUCUAUACGCUAGAUAAAUCCAGCGACCGGCUUAGCACCAUCAAUAUAUAUAUGCUUCCUCUGUAUGGGAAAGAUGUCCCUGGCUCCACCUAAUGGUGGUUAAAUAAAGCGAACUUCUUAAUGAAUUGAUGACAUUUGAAAAUUUAUGACUUGUGCUCACUGCUGGUAUCGAUGAUAUGUUAGUUGGCGAGCAUUUUGUUUUUCUUGUUUCCUGUGUUUUUGUUUCCAUUUGAUGUAAUUUAGAAUGUAGUGGAGGACAACAUGAAUUGUUAAAACCCUUGCGUUUCUUCCAUUACUUUUUGAUAUUGGUUUGCAGAAAGUUUGAAUUUCAUUUCCAUGCUCAUUUUGGACAUGUCCUGGUUUCGAAUUUUUCUUGCUUUAAUUACCUCAAAUUGGGUUUAUGAUUUGGAAAUUUUAUUAUAAUCAACGGCUUAACCAACAAAAUUGUAAAUAGUUUUGACACUCUUUAUCAAUAAACCAUUUUGUUAGUAUUGGAUGCAUCACUUUUGUUCUUUCCAUGUAAGUAGUUUCUCCCCAUGUAAGUUGGAUUUUUAUUUACAAAUUUAAUGCUGUUUCUCUAUCUUCCCAUUAAGAAAAUCCCAUAUCCAUCCACAGUUGUAUUAAUUUCUUUCUGUGUCGCAAGGCCCUUUUCUGAAUUUUGUAAAAAUGUAAUUGUUUUAUAAAAUAUAUAAUUUUUAAUCUGUUGUUCACCCAUUUUGAACGUCUAUUGCUUUGAAACAAAUGUUUGUAUUAGGUUUUUACCCUGUAUCACCUAUUCUUUUUGGCUAGGUAAUCCUAAGUUUAACUAUUGAUUUUUAGGCAGACUUUUAAAAUCUGUUGUUAGCAGUAAAAUAUAUAAAAUACCAUUUCUUCAAAUAAUUUAUUUUAAAUGUAUUAUUAUUGUUUUUAAUGAAUUAGAUGAAUAUAUUAUAUAUAGAAGUUAAAGCAUUGGUUAAUAAAACCCAAAAUUUAAUCAUGAUUUCAAUGGUAAUCAAAUAUCAUCGUCAGAUUUGAGCGAGGAAUUAGCGAUGGCAAUUAUGAUUAAGGUGGGUUGUUCAAAAGUGGAACAAACGUCCUUUUAUUCAACUUCUAAAUCAAUCUUAUCUUAGACCAAACUAUUUGAGUCUUUACAUAUGAAAUCAACGUACAACCAUUCAAAACAUGUAUAUGCAUAUUUUUGUCUUCCAAUUACAGUUCCAUAUUCCCAUGAUUUCUGUCGUUAAGUUUACUUAAACCGUUUGCAAUAGAGGAAAUAAGGAGAGGAGGAAGUGAUGGUAUAACAAAGGUCGAUUCACCUAAACAAUUGAAGGGUUGGAGAAAGGAGGCAAGUGAGGGGGAGGAUAAGGUAGCAAAGGAGGCUAAAUGCUGACUACUUAGGGUUGCUGAAAGGCUAAAGGAUCUUUCCCUUUUUCUUCAUUCUAUAUGGUAUUUAUAGGGAAGGAGGUCUCAUGCUCACUGAGGCUAUGCCACCGGUAAAUCUGGGACAUGGUGAUAGUGCAGUUUACCAGGUGGUAAGGCCGUUGUAUGUGAGUUGUCCUCAUGUAUGAUACUGUUAUGACAUUCCCUUAGUCGAGGCAGCAUGAGGUUCUUACACCUAGUGGUCCCUUGGUGGUCUCCUUUUUGGAGGUGAUUGCGCACCCGCUAAAAGCUGGUGGCUUGGAGGAUGUGUUGUUCUGGUUGUUGGUCACCUAGUGACUAGCUGAGCAGUAGAGGAUUGUCUGGGCCACUGUAGGCAGGGAGGUAAGCGAAAAACCGUCCAUGAGUGUCUCUCAAGUAUACUCUUGUGAUGCCACAUGUCGUGCCAAGUGGGAGAGUAUAACACAUAUAUGUUGACCAUUGAGUCCUAUUCGUGAGUAGGACAUUGGGAAAUUAAAAGGAAAAACUACCUAGUAAUAUACAAUUACCUUUUAAAUUUCUAUACUAUUAUUUAUGUAUUUAACUAAGUUUAUAUUACCCAUCAAUCAGGUCCUCUGUAUGUGUUUGACUAAGUAGAUGUUACCUAUGAACGAGUCCUAACUCAGUAUGAAAUUAUCAAAAUCUCAUUUAUUUUACAAAGUAAAAACAUUAUUAUGAAGGUAUUUAUGUUUUUUUUAUAUUAAAUACAUACAUAAUAAAAUUUAAAUCUAAGACAAGUUAUAAUAUUUCAACUUUACCAUUUUAGCUAAAACCUUAUUUGUUUUUUUGUAUCAAUUUUUCUAUAAAUAUAUUUGUUACAUAAAUUUUCACUUACAUGUGCUAUAAUCUAAUAUUUUUUAUCCACUUGUCAUAAUCUAAUAUGAUAUAAAUAAUUUUAUAUGCAAUAUUUAUAGUUGAGUUUAUAAUUUUUCAUGUUAAUUUUUUAAUUAAUUAAUAUCUAAUAUUUAAUUAAUUUAUUGAUAUUAAUUAAAUUUUAUUUUGUGAUAUUUUUAGUUACUUUCAAUGUUAUUUUCAUGUUUCACUUUAUUCUAUAAUUUACAAAAUUUUAACUUUAAUUUGUUUAUUUAAAAAUUAAAUCUUUAUAUCUGACAUAUAUUAACAUAAAUAUUACAUUAAAAAAAUUAAUCCUAUUUUAGGAAGCGCAAUGACAUAUUUUAAUAUUAAAAAAAAAAAAAAACAAUCAAGCGCAAUGCUGGAGAAACUUUUAAACUAAUCAAUAUAAUUUUUACCGCUCAUUAUACUAUCGAUUUUAAAUAUUAUUUUAAUUAUUUAUAAGAUUCAUUAUAUUUAGAAAUAAAAAAAUUUAGUUUUACUGAAAUAUUUGCUUAAAUAAGUUCACUUAAUAACAAGAAUUUAUCAUAUAUAUAAAAAAGGUUCCAAUUUUAUUAAAAGGCUUUUGUUUAAAUGAAUUUAUAUAAUAAUAAAUAAAAUGUUAAUUUUUUUAUUGAAUUAAUUUAUAAUUAAAUUAUUAUCUUUCUAUUAACAAUUUUUUUUAAGCUUCAAAUAGUAAGAAGCAUGUGUUUGAAGAGUAAUAAAAUAAUAUUAAAAAUUUUUAUUAGCUUACAGUGUACCAAGAAAAAGAAACAGUGGUCUGUGGGAUACAAGUUAAGUUGCAUGUAAGCCAUAUAACAAACACCGACAUAAAAAUCUUAUUAACUUAUUUUGUAUUCACUGUCUGGCUAUUUCAUUCAUAUAAAUUACUAAUUUAUCGGGGACAAAUGUUGUUUUAUUUGGUAAGAAAAAGAAUGGGAAGGAUUGAAAUUGAAAUUGAAAAUGUGAAAUUAUUAGAGUAAUUUAGGAAUAAAAUUAUAAAAUAAGGAAACCUUAAAUUUGUUGGGCAAAACCAUAAAUAAAUUGGUUCAAGAGACUGAGAUCAAUGAUUGGGAAGGAAAAGGAUUUGAGGUACAUAAAAGAACUGCUUUAUUUAUUUGCCAGCUCCAAAGUCGAGACAUUGCAUGAUCCAAAAGGCAUGGGCGCUGCUUUUAGACAUUUUAUCUCAUAUAAUAGCUAAAUGACAAAUUAAAAAGUGCUGUGGGCACAUCAAAGCAACACAUAAAAUUUAAGUUUAAUCCAAUCUCAUUCUUACCAUGUCUGUCUGUCUUUAUAUUCGGAUUGUGGUUAUUGAAUGGGACAUUCUCUUUUCUCAUUUCAUGGAUCAUCACAAAUUUUGGUGUGAUGGCACAUCCAGGUCUUGGUCGACCACAACCCUAUAGUAAAGCCAAAGUCGCCCAUCCCCUAGAGAGAUGGCAAAGAUAGGGGGCAUUCUUUGUUUUACUUUGUUUUGUGGCUUCAUUUGAUGACAAAUGAGCACAUAUCAUUUCAUAAUUUGCUCACUUACCCCACUUUCUCUACUUUUAAGAGCUCAUUCAAUUCCAACAGCAACAAUGAUUUUUCAUUGGUAGUAAGCCAAAUAUAUAUAGAAUUUAACUAUAAAAUUUAUUAUAUUAACUUAUAAUUUAUUCAAACUCUUAACUUUUCAGGGGCUUUAGGAUGCUCUUGGUGAUUUGAAUUUCACAUUUUUUUUAAGUAUACUACAUGUGUUUUUUAUCCAAUAUAGUGUUUGAAUUUGGCAAAUUUUAUAUAUUUUGGUGUCCAGAAUUAACAGUAUUAUUUUUUUAGUGUUUAGUUAAAGGUUUAGAGUUGAUUUGAUGAAAGUUAAUUGCUAAUAUUAUUAGGUUGAAAUUUUCAUAACUUUGCUAAUAGAAUAAUUUUAUUGUUGAUUGUGAAUAUAUUUAAUUUUAAAAUAUAAUCCAGUGGUUGUGCUUUCUUUUUCGAGUUUUAGGGUUAACUUGAUAAAAUUUAAUUGUUAAUAUUAUUAGUUAAUUAUUAUUUAUCAUAAAAUCAACUCUAAAACUCAAAUUAAAUAUUAAACUAUUAAUAUUGUUACCAUCGAGUAUCAAAUUGUAUAACUUUUGACAAAUGCAGGUACCACAUUGGACCAAAAAACAUGCAUGUGUCACAUUAAAAAAAAGAGUGAAACUUAGGUAUCAAAAUAUAUAUUAAGCCAUAUUUUAAGCUUCUAACUGAGUUGACACUAACUCAAUUAGAAAAUUACUAAAAAUCAUUAUUUUUACAAAAUAAAAAAUAUUAAUUUACUGAUAUUUUUGUCUUCUAAAUUUUCAUAAAAAAUAUUACUAUAAGAAAUUUUGAAUCUAAGACAUCAUGUUCAACUUAAUCAUUUUGGCCAAAACCUUAAUUUUACAUAAUUUUGUCUGGUAUUACCAAUGAAUUAGAUGAUGUCAUCUUAUUAAAAAAAUCAACUAACAAGUUGGUACAUUGCACUCUUAAAAAAAAAUACAGGUUCGAACUUUAGAGGUAACAUUAUUGCGAGGAAUAACCAUGAACCCUAAACAUAACAUAUAAAAUUAUAUAUACUUACAAUUUAUAUUACCAAACACAACAUACAUUUUAAAAUUUAAAACUACGUAAUUAUAUACUAACAAUUUAUAUUACAUAUAAUUAUAUUUUAUAAGUCUAAAAAUUUUCUAUCUUAAAUUCAAAUAAAAUUAAUUGCAAAAAAGUUCCAUUUCCUUUAAAAAGGUAGUAGGAUUAAAAAAAAUACAUCUUGCACCAGACAUCCCCUUUUAUUAAUCUUAAAUAAAUAGCGUUCAUAAUUGUUUAUAAUAAAUAAUAUUUUAUUAAAGAGAAUGUUUCUUAGGGUUAAUAUAGGAUAUCGCAGGGAGCCCAGCCUACUUAAAAUGAAAAAAAUUUCAUUUAAACUUUUUAAAAAUUUUAAAUUAGUAAAUAUAAAAUUAUAUUUUUGUCCUCCUAAAAAAAUAAUAAAAAUUUUAAUUAAAUUCUUUAAAAAUUAAAAAAAUAUAGACUCUUUAAAUGGUGAAAUUGCAUCUUUACUAUCGUAUAAAUUACAAAUUAAUUUUGGCUCUCCCUAGAAAAAUUUCUUGGCUUUACCCCUGGUUAAUAUAUGGUUUACUCUUUGAAUUUGUGAAAAAAUUAUUUAGUUGGUACUUGAAUUUAUCCAAAAAAAGUAUUUUUUUUAAAAAAGUAUACUGAAAGGCUACUAUGUGUCACUAUAGUAUUGAGCAUCAGUGUCACAUCAGCAGAAACUAACAGUGUUAAUGUGGAUAUACGAACCUAGGUGAUGGAAUCCAAGUUUAUGUAUUGGGUAGGUACAAAAAAAUUUCAAGUACCAAUUAAAUACUCUUAGAUAAAUUCAAUGAGCAAACUACAUAUUAACCCAACUUCUUAUUACAAUUUUGUUUUUGUUUUGUUUCUAGAUUUAUAUAAAAAUAGUAAAAUAUGCUUUCUUUCUUUUUUUUCAUUUGUACAAGAGGCACAUUCAAAAGAUGUAGUAAAAAAUGUUAUGUAGCAAAAAAUGUCAAUUUUUAAAGUUAGUUAGUAAAUUAGAUUGUUUUCCUCAAAAUUUAGGGAAAUAGGAUAUUUUUAGAGAGAAAAAUUAAAAAUGUGUCUUGGAAAAAGUGCUUUUUGAAAAAUAUCUUUUGCAAAACGUAUUUUUCUUUUACAUAUUAGCGCCUCCAGUUAGAUGGUUAAAUAAUAGUGAUUUCAUUCUUGAGUUUUAAAUUUAAUUCUUUUUCUAACCACAUUUCUAUUUUUUUAUUUCAUGUUCUUUCAAGUUUUUUUAAAAUUAAUGUUUUUAAUUAAUAAAUAUAUUUUCAAGAUUUUUAUUUUUAAUUCAUCUUUUUAAUUAAUAACUCUUUUAUUUAUAUAAAUAAAGUAAAGAAAUGUAAUUAUAUAAUAAAAUAUAAUUUUUAUAUAUAUCAUUAUGUUAAAAAUAUUUUUAAUUAAUAAAUUCUUUAUUUAUGUAAAUAAAUUAAUAAUUAUAUAAUUAUAUAAUAAAAAUAUUUUUUUAUAUUUAUCAUUAUGUUGAAAAUAUUUUAUUUCUUAAAAACAUCAACUAAUUUUAUUAUAUAUUUUUCUUUAUAUAUAAUAUUUAUAUGUCAUAUAUUUAUUUUCUCCACCUACAUUGUGGGAAUAGUGAUUUCUAAUACUAUAAAAUCAAAUAAUUAUUUCAAAUACAUAUACAAAAAUAUAUAAUACUAAAAUUUACUACACUCAUGAUAUGGAUUGAAAAAUAAAUAUUUCACAUAUAAAAACUAUAUUUACUAAAAAUAAUGAUAUUUGAAUUAAUUAACUUGAUUUUAUAAAAUAAAAAUAAAAAUGUAGUUAGAAGAGGUAUUGAACUUGGGACUCAAGGAUGAAAUUGCUAUUCCUUAAUUGCCUAGCCAAAGGAGCUGACGUGUCAACAAAAAACGUGUUUUAUAAAAAGCGUUUUUCAAAAGGCGCUUUUACCAUGAUGCGUUUUCAAUUUUUUCUAUCUAAAAAUGGCUUAUUUCCCUAAAUUUCGAGAAAAAAGCCUAAUUUGCUAAUCAACUUUUAAAAAUAAAAUUAUUUUGCUAAAUCUCCCAACGCAUUCUAUAUUUACGGAGCUACCGAAAAGGCGAUAUAUGAAAGAAAUAAGUCUUACUAUUUAUACAUAUGAGAGAGAAACAAAAGGUUACUAUUUACACAUUUUUAAUAUAUAUUAAAAAUUUUAUUACAUACGUAUAUGUGUGAAAAUCACGUAUUUAAAAUAAAUGUGUGUGUUUAAAAAUUAUAACACAUAAAAAAAAACUUGAAACUAGUAAUAAUAACAAUACUUACACAAUAUGUACGAAAUUAGAAUAAAAAAUAGUUAACUUGUGAGUAAAAUGAAAAUUGAGAUAGAUAAAUACAUUAUAUUAAAAAUCUUAAAUGUACUUCAAUUGUUUAUCAUGGAGUUUUCACUUUUCUAUAGCAUGUUAAAAAGUUAAUGAAAAGAAAAUUUAAUAUUAAAAUUCUAUUUUAAAAAAAUUAAAUAUCGAAUUGCCUUGUGACAUCAACACAAUUAAUGACAUUAUCUAUAUACACAAAUUUGAUUGUUGAAAACAUUUUAUGUUAAAAGUUAAUUUUUUAAAGUUUAUUCAAGAAUUAUUAUUGGUAUAGUGAUAAAGAAUUUGUUUCAUUAGAUAUGAGUUUAAUUUUAUUUCUUUUAUUCAAGAACUAUAUAAAAGUAUGAAAAAAACAAAAAAAGCCAUCAAAAUAAUAAUAGUAAUCAUUUAAUAAAAGGCUUAAUUCCCUAUUUGACCCUUAAAGCAAAUUUAAUUUCUAGCUUUAAUACCUAUUUUUUUUAUUCAAUUUGAUAUCUAAAAUAUUAUAGUUUUUAGUUUUCUUUAACGGAGGAUAGAAAAAAAAUCACAUUUUAUAUUUUCAUUUUUUUUACUUAAAAACAUUUAUUAAAAUUAAAAUUAAAUAAUUCCCUCUCGCCCCCCUCUUCUUUGUCUUCAAAAAUUAAAUGCAUUGUUUUCCACUUUAUUUACAGGUUUGCAUAUUAAAUGCCAUGUCAUAAUCAUUGAAGAUGUGUAAUAUGUUGAUUAAGAGUAUGUAACUAAAGAAUAUUGUUUGUUGGUACGAUGGUUAACGUGUUUAUUAUUUCAAGUAUAACUUGAGUUUAAAUUGCAUUCUAAAGUUUUUUCUUCUUUGCAAUUCAUCGAAAAGAAAUAUCUAACUAACAAUUAUUCUAAAUCCAUCUUCUACAGAAACCAUGGCUAUUUUAGUUGGGUUUUGACUAUCAUAGCUGGUUCUUUAAGAAUAAUUUGGCUUUAUAUUAAUUUUAUGUAGGUGCAAAGGCAACAUUUUGAAUUGAAACUCAGGAGCAUAGGGAUGAAACAGAGACAAUGUCCAAUUUGGUCAUCCCUUGCUCUCACCAUAAACCAUCUCCCCGAAAUGCUAUCAAAACUGAAAACUUUUGCUUGGAGUUUGUCAAGUAUCAAAACCAUAGAAUCUUUUAAAACUAAACAUUUUCUUUCAUGUCUAUUUACACAAGAAUAUUUGAAAUACAUAAUGUUAUAAUAAACGCCAACAAUGGCGGUAGAACAAUUGCAAAGCAUUAUGAAAAGAAAAAUAAGAACACACAAGUUUUACAUGAAAAUUCUUUUGGGAAAAAACUAUGGGCAGAUGAAUAAAAAUUCACUAAUGUUGAAAAACGAAUGACACAAGAGAAGUCUAGGCUACAUCUAUCUAAAGGUUGAAAAACCCUGUUCUAAUCAAAGUCAAAUGAUAGAAGUACUAUAUGGACUCAACUUGUGCAAUAUGGUCUGUACUGCCCGGUUGCAACCCCAAUCCAGUUUUGUGCUUAGUGGGGAUUUGUGGUGGGCUACAGCUUUGGGCCUUUAGCCUUUUACCCCUACAUAUCCCUUUAUUUUGCCACUAUAUUUAUUUCUUCAACAAGUGGCGAGAUUCGGGUCACACAGUCUCUAACACAUAAACAUUUGUAAGUUUAAAGCGGGUAAAAAAAAUAAAAUCCAAUCAUGCUUUAUGCUACUAUUUAUUUUCUUUAGGAGUUUCUUUACCAAGGGCCAGAGUAUCCAAGCUUCACUAACUUAGCCAGGAUUCUUAUUAAUAAUAUAGAUAUUUAAGAAAGAAAUAAGACAAAACGGAAAGAAAAAGAAAGAAAUAAAACAUGUCUUAGUUUCUUAAUCUUAUUUGUAAAAUUAAAAAAAAGCUCGAUGAAACAAUCAUAUUCACGUGUAUUGUGUAUAUAGUCAAUUUUUUCUAUAACAACCACCCAUUAUAAUAGCAUUUCACUAUAACAACUAAGUUUCUAGCAAAUGCAAUUUUUUAUGUUUUAUUUUAACCUUUAUAACAACUUUUUCACUUAUAACAACAUCCAUAGAAAUAAAGUACAUUCUUUAUUAAAUUUAUUCUUUAUAUCGACAUAUUCACUAAAUUUUGAAGUAAAAUUAUAACUAUUUUGUAUAAGCAAGCAUAUUAAUUUUAAUUUAUUAAAUAAAAAUUAUAUUUAUUAAAAUAUUGUUUCAAUAAAUUUGUUAAAUUUCACAUAAAAAAUCUAUUAAUUAUUGUAAGGCCCAAUUUUUGUCCGGACUUAUACCAAAAAAAUCAAAAAAACAAUAAACACAAAAUAAACUAAAUUAAAGCAGCCCAAAUACAUUUUUAAUCCAAUUAAACAAAUACCCCCCCAAAAAACCCUUAACCCAAUUACAUAAAAUCCAAUAAUUUUAACCCAUUUUUAAUAACCCAUGACCCAAUAAGCCCUAAAACCCAAGGCCCAAUACAUCCAAAAUUAUCUCAGCAGCACUGGGAGCUUCUGGAACGUGCCAGAAUAGGCCAGAAAUUGGGACUCCCACGAGUGGCUCCUCGCGCAGCCUCCUUCGCACGCCUCCUCUGUACGGCCAAAUCUGCACAAGAAUAUACCAGAAGAAUUACUAACAGAAUACAACUAAGGAUUUAAUUUUUAUUUUUUUUAUUCCAAAAAUCAGGCUAUAAGAAGCCAAUGAUUUCAUCCCUGUAUUUGUUCACUCACACUGUACGCAUACACGUACACUCUACGCAUACAGAAUACAAAGAAAAUUUCGAAAAAGAAAUUUUUUUUAAAAGAUGAUCUCAAGUUUUUUUUUUCCUCUGAUUAAUUUCCUUGGUUGGCUAGUUUUUUUUCAGCAUGUGAAUCGACGCCCAUGAAAUCCAAAAGAUCUCAGUAAUAUUGAGAUCUGGACGAGGGUCAAAUGGAAUCAAAUGUUUUUAGUUUUUCUUUCCCGAAUAAACCAUGUUAGAUUUAAAGUUCUUUUAAAAAAAAGGAGAAAAUGAAAUGGUUUACCAGAUUUCUUCGUGUGGAGCCUCCGAUGGCGAGAUCUGGUCACUGCCCAUGCGUUACUGGCCACCAAAUGGAAUGGUAACUCGGUAGCUGCUGAAAGGAGCCCAGGCCAUUUGAUUUUUGGGCUAUGAAUGUUGAUUGAAUGGGGGCUGUGUUUGGAGAAGAAAAGGGUAGAAGGAAGGUUCUAAAUAACAUAUUGAAAAAACGGUGUCGUUCACUAGCAAUGAAGGUCCGCGCAUUGGCCCGAAAUGUGAAUCGGAUCUGAGCCAUUUUGUAUGCAAGGGAAAUUUGGGCGCUAAAUCCUUUGCAUUCGCAUGGGGCUUCAAUUGCAUCCUUUUUAUUUUGCUUUGUUUUUUCAAUUUGGCUCACUGAUUUGAGUGCGUUUUCAUUCUAGUCCAUGAUACAAUGAUGCGAUUUAGGCCUGGGAGGAUUUACAAUAUCAGUCCCUAUAUAUUUACGCAUGUUAUGCAUUGAUCUAUUUUAUGGUCAUUUUAUUUACAAAUUAUCCUUCUUAUCUUGUUGCAUUUUUAAUUGGGUCUUAUAUUUGUAUAAUCGGUUAAUUUAAAAUACAUUUAAUAUGUCCGUUUGUUACAUUUGUACAAUUAUUUUUAGAUUGUUCUUUUUGACUCUUUAAGUAUUUUAUAUAUAUUUGUAUACUAG